AACGAACGCUGGCGGCAUGCCUAACACAUGCAAGUCGAACGAGACCUUCGGGUCGAGUGGCGCACUGGUGCGUAACGCGUGGGAACCUGCCAUUAGGUUCUGAAUAACUCCCCGAGAGGGGUGCUAAUGCCGGAUAAUGUCGUCGGAACAAAGAUUUAUCGGCUUUGGAUGUGCCCGCGUUGGAUUAGCUAGUUGGUAGGGUAAACGCCUACCAAGGCGACGAUCCAUAGCUGGUCUGAGAGGAUGAUCAGCCACACUGGGACUGAGACACGGCCCAGACUCCUACGGGAGGCAGCAGUGGGGAAUGUUGGACACUGGGCGAAAGCCUGAUCCAGCAAUGCCGCGUGAGUGAUGAAGGCCUUAGGGUUGUAAAGCUCUUUUACCCGGGAUGAUAAUGACAGUACCGGGAGAAUAAGCUCCGGCUAACUCCGUG
rnacentral:rRNA from 1 species